rnacentral:rRNA from 1 species
GCAGCCUGAUGCAGCGACGCCGCGUGAGGGAUGAAGGCCUUCGGGUUGUAAACCUCUUUCAGCAGGGAAGAAGCGCAAGUGACGGUACCUGCAGAAGAAGCACCGGCUAACUACGUGCCAGCAGCCGCGGUAAUACGUAGGGUGCGAGCGUUGUCCGGAAUUAUUGGGCGUAAAGAGCUCGUAGGCGGCUUGUCGCGUCGGAUGUGAAAGCCCGGGGCUUAACCCCGGGUCUGCAUUCGAUACGGGCAGGCUAGAGUGUGGUAGGGGAGAUCGGAAUUCCUGGUGUAGCGGUGAAAUGCGCAGAUAUCAGGAGGAACACCGGUGGCGAAGGCGGAUCUCUGGGCCAUUACUGACGCUGAGGAGCGAAAGCGUGGGGAGCGAACAGGAUUAGAUACCCUGGUAGUCCACGCCGUAAACGUUGGGCACUAGGUGUGGGUCACAUUCCACGUGGUCCGCGCCGCAGCUAACGCAUUAAGUGCCCCGC